rnacentral:sRNA from 1 species
AUGUACCACUCGUACACUCCGGUUCCUGUGCGCCGUCCGCACCCACCUGACGACUGCUUUUGUAACGGCC